UACGUUCUUCGGAGCGUGCCGAGUGGCGGACGGGUGAGUAAGACGUGGGCGACCUGCCGCUUGGAGGGGGAUACCCCGCGGAAACGCGGGUUAAGACCGCAUACGCUGGUUGGGGUAGAGCCCGAUCAGGAAAACACUUCGGUGUGCCAAGUGAGGGGCCUGCGGCCGAUUAGCUAGUUGGGGGGGUAACGGCCUCCCAAGGCGACGAUCGGUAGCUGGUCUGAGAGGACGAUCAGCCACACUGGGAUUGAGAACGGCCCAGACUCCUACGGGGGGCAGCAGUGAGGGAUCUUCGGCAAUGGGGGCAACCCUGACCGAGCGACGCCGCGUGCGGGACGAAGGCCUUCGGGUCGUAAACCGCUUUUCUUGGGGACGAGAAUGGACGGUACCCGAGGAAGAAGCCUCGGCUAACUACGUGCCAGCAGCCGCGGUAAUACGUAGGAGGCGAGCGUUGUCCGGAGUUACUGGGCGUAAAGGGUGCGUAGGCGGCCGCGCGCGUGGAGGGUGAAAUCUCUCGGCUUACCCGGGAGGGGGCUUUCCAGACGGCGUGGCUUGAGGGACGGAGAGGGGCGUGGAAUUCCGGGUGGAGCGGUGAAAUGCGUAGAGAUCCGGAGGAACACCGACGGCGUAGGCAGCGCCCUGGCCGUUUCCUGACGCUGAAGCACGAAAGCUGGGGGAGCAAACAGGAUUAGAUACCCUGGUAGUCCCAGCCCUAAACGAUGUCCACCGGGUGCCGGGGGUAUCGACCCCCUCGGUGCCGAAGCUAACGUGAUGAGUGGACCGCCUGGGGAGUACGGCCGCAAGGUUGAAACUC
rnacentral:rRNA from 1 species